rnacentral:rRNA from 1 species
UGGGGAAUAUUGGACAAUGGGCGAAAGCCUGAUCCAGCCAUGCCGCGUGUGUGAAGAAGGUCUUCGGAUUGUAAAGCACUUUAAGUUGGUAGGAAGGGCAGUAAGCGAAUACCUUGCUGCUUUGACGUUACCGACAGAAUAAGCACCGGCUAACUCUGUGCCAGCAGCCGCGGUAAUACAGAGGGUGCAAGCGUUAAUCGGAAUUACUGGGCGUAAAGCGCGCGUAGGUGGUUCGUUAAGUUGAAUGUGAAAGCCCCGGGCUCAACCUGGGAACUGCAUCCAAAACUGGCGAGCUAGAGUAGGGCAGAGGGUGGUGGAAUUUCCUGUGUAGCGGUGAAAUGCGUAGAUAUAGGAAGGAGCACCAGUGGCGAAGGCGACCACCUGGGCUCAUACUGACACUGAGGUGCGAAGGCGUGGGGAGCAAACAGG